GGGCCCGCACAAGCGGUGGAGCAUGUGGUUUAAUUCGACGCAACGCGCAGAACCUUACCCGGCCUUGACAUCCUUGGAAUCCUUCCGAAAAGAAGGAGUGUCCCCUCACGGGGAAGCCAAGUGACAGGUGCUGCAUGGCUGUCGUCAGCUCGUGUCGUGAGAUGUUCGGUUAAGUCCGGCAACGAGCGCAACCCCUGUCGUUAGUUGCCCAUCAAUUCGGUUGGGCACUUUAACGAGACUCCCGGUGUUAAGCCGGCGGAAGAUGGGGAUGACGUCAAGUCCUCAUGGCCCUUAUGGUCGGGGCUACACACGUACUACAAUGGCGACUACAGAGGGUAGCAAGACCGCAAGGUGAG
rnacentral:rRNA from 1 species